rnacentral:rRNA from 1 species
CACGUAGGCGGAUCUUUAAGUCAGAGGUGAAAUCCCAAGGCUCAACCUUGGAACUGCCUUUGAUACUGGGGAUCUCGAGUCCGGGAGAGGUGAGUGGAACUGCGAGUGUAGAGGUGAAAUUCGUAGAUAUUCGCAAGAACACCAGUGGCGAAGGCGGCUCACUGGCCCGGAACUGACGCUGAGGUGCGAAAGCGUGGGGAGCAAACA